GUUGGGUUUAAUUAAAUUUAUCAAAUAGAAAGUUAAUUUUGUUUUUGUGAAGACACAAUCUUCCCCACACAACAAUUUCUAUUAAAGGAUAUAGAAAAUGAAAAACUUCAAAUAUUAGAUUUAAGAUCUGAAUCUUGAUUUUCCCAAGGAGAACCUACAUUUCUUUGAGAAUAAGAUUGUUCCUUUUUUGUUUGCUUGUUUUCCCCAAAGCUUAUUUCUAAUAAGGAAGCAUUCACAUCCUAUGUUUCAUUUGGGGGAGUCGGAGAAUACUUUGGAACCAUGUUAAUGGAGACUGAACAGCAGAAGGAGGAACUGUACUCUCCACACUGAUAGUUUCUGUUGGCAGAUAAAUGCUCAAUUAUUCUUUUCACUUUACCUAAGGAUAUAUUUUCCAUGUAAGUCUGUAAAAGAUAAAAAUGGUUAUUAAACAAGUUCUUUUUUAUUUUAAAAAGACAGGGUCUCUGUGUGUUCCCCAGUCAAGCCCUGAACUCCUAGGCCCAAGCAAUUCUGUUGUCUCAUCCUCCCCAUUAGCUGGGACUACCAGUGUGUACCACCAUGUCUCGCUCAAACAAGUUCAUUUUCAGAUCCAAAGGAAUUACAGAUAAGAAAAAUGGAAAUGUUUAAAGUGAAAUACACAAAAAAUAACAACUUAAGACUUUGAGUUCUCGCAAUAUUUUUGACUGGAUAAUCUGAAAAUACUUUUACUACAAAUCACUUGGAUAUGCUAGAUGAAAUAUAACAUGCAUGCUUUUAAAUGCUAUUAUGAAAGGCAGGAGGGUCCCCUGGAAACUCAUUUAUUAUUUUUUUUUAAUUGAUCUUUUGACUCCUCUGGAUUAACUUUUCUGCCAGUCUGGUUAACAUUAGGUAUGGGUUUCAAUGACCAUAAAAGAACAGUUGACAAAUCUUUGGGCCCACGAGGGGCAGAAAAUUGUAUUUAAGACUCUCAAAAUAGGGCUGGGGUUGUGGCUCAGCAGUAGAGCGCUUGCCUCGCAUGUGCAAGGCCCUGGGUUCGAUCCUCAGCACCACAUAAAAAUAAAUAAAUAAAACUUACUGUGUACAACUACAACUAAAAAAUAAAUUUAAAAAAAAAGACUCUCAAAUAAAGACCCCUUGAAUGAUUGUGAAACUGUGAAAGAGGAGAACUUAAAUCAUUCAUUUCCUCUCAAAGUGAGAUUUAAAAGAGACUUUCAAGCUUAGCCUGAUCUACUAAGGAAAGGGGAAGAAAGGAAAACCCUGAGAACAAGAACCUGAGAACCUUAGGCUACCCUCAUUCCAGUUUAGGUUUUGAAUUUAUACUGUCUAGAAGACCUAGAUUCUUUAAGUGAGGGGAAAAAAAACAUUAUGGGCCUGGUAAUAAUACAGUGCACUUAAUAGAAGUAAUUCAAAGCCUUCUCUAGAAAGAUAUAUUUUCAACCCAGGCUGCAUAGGAUUUCUACAGAUAAAGUCUCACUAAACAUGAGCUCACGAUUUAAAAUUGGAAAAUACACAAACAAUCCAGAAUCAUCAGAAAUAACAGCCAACAUAAUUAGAUCCUAGUUCAGAAAUAACCUAUAAAAUUAAUGUUUAAAUUUGUUAAAGAGAAAAAGCAGAUACUGCUGAAAUAUUUACUAGGAGUAAAAUAAAUAUUCGUAGUGAAAUAUUUAUUAGGAGUAAUUUUUCAGGCCUACAAAGGGUUAAUUUGUGUGUUGUCUGCACCUUAGUCAUGAAGUUAAUCAGAGCCAGAAUUCCACUUAGGGGUGAGAGGGUACUCUGUUAUUUUUAGAUCAAUCUUUCCUAUACAUGCUGGGGUUCAAGUAACAGAACUAAAUGUGGGAUUGGGGAGGGAGGUUUGCUUCAAUUGUGGGCCACUGAGCAAAGGGAAAGCUGUGUUACCAUUGAAGUUGGAAAGCAGACUGACUAAUUUCAAGAAAGUACGGAAUCAAAUAAAGGAGAAACAAGACAAAGCUAGAGCAUUUCAAAGGUGGAAGAUGUGGUAUUCUCUAAGGAAAAAGAACAAACACAAGUAACCCAUUAUAGAUCUUCUUCCUUAGAGAAGUCUGUGGUUGGAGGCUGACUUGGGCAAUAUUUGGGAACAUUGCUUUGCCUGUGAAAUGAAACCAGAUCCAAUAGAAGAGUUUAAUCUCAGAAAUAAAAUUCUGAAUUAGGCUGAGAUGUAAACAGGAGAUUUUAAUUCCUGGAACCAUAGAUAUUUAAAUGGGUAUGGUUUCUCCUGUCUCUAUACCCAAGAACAUCUGAUCUUUGUUGUGUGAGUGUUGGAGACAAAUUUUCCAGGCUUCUGCCUCAAUUCAUUACCUUCCAAAUGAGUGAGACAGAAAGGUUCUCCACACUAGAAUUAGGCCUUGAUGUUUUAUCUUAGUGUAAAUUUAGCAUCAUGUCAGGUUUAUAGGUAGCACAUCAAGAUGCAAAAAAUAAGCUGAAAUCUUGUGUUGGUUACUUGCACCUACAUUCAAGUGUUUGGAACUUUUUGACACCUAUUUUUAGGGUAGGAAAUGAAAUAGUCAAAUUCAUAAAAUUAAUUCAAACUGUUUUUGCCUAAGAAAAUAAUUAUAGAUUUCUAGACAGGAAUCAGUUGUCUUCAUGAACAAAGUUGAACUCAGAGGUAAAAACGGGAUUAGCAUAACUUGAUGGGGCCACUUAUAUUAGCUGGACACUGCAGUGUUAUAAAAACAAAACUGUCUAGUUAAAUAUGAAGAAUUUUGUGCCAGUCCUCAUAAGAGCUGAAAAAUCAUCCAGUGGUUAUUCGUUCCUUCCUCUCCACAUCCAUUUUGACCAUUCUUUUUCUCAUAGCAUGGGUCUUUGUAGAGAACCUUUUAUGUUCACUAACCUGCAUCUGCCAAAUGGUGGCCUCUGAGCCUGUAUCUACACAGCCUUCCGGUUCAGCUCCUCAAACAUGACUGUGCUGCUCUCUGUGGCUCAAUUCUGUCAGUGUCAGAUGUUAUGAUCAGGGGUUUUUCCAGUUUGAGGCAGUAUGGAGAGACUUCUGUACUUUCCUGUAACCCUGAGACUUCUGUACUUUCCAAGCUCCCUUUCCAAGCUCUGUGUUUUUCAAGCAGCUUGGGCACCCAGGGCACCCUGCAAUGAUCUGUACAGUUCCACAUAACACCACCAUUUCUAUGUGAUUUUGUUGAGCUUGAUGGUCUUUGUUGUAGCUUACAAGGAGUGAUCCUUCUGGAGGGUCAGUGAGGACUUUUUUUUCCCAAAGAGUAUGGUAAAGGGCAGACAAGGAUCUCCAUUUCACAGAUACCAGGAAGCAUAAAAGAGAAAUAGGUAGAAUACUUAGCAGAUAGAAUUGCAGUCUUCUUACUAAUUAUUUGAUUUCACUUAGAUAUAUUGUUUUUCUUUUUCCCAACUUUAGAAGCUAAUAGAUUUAAAAGGUGGACUUAUGUAGUAGUUUCUUUAGAAUAGCAUUGACAAAGUUUGCAAGUUCUGAGGAAUAUUAUAUUUUCUGAGGAAGAAAGUCUACACUGAGGGGGGAUAGUAGAGGAUAGGAAAGGCAGCAGAACACAACAGACACGAGUAUGGCAAUAUGUAAAUCAAUGGAUGUGUAACUGAUGUGAUUCUGCAAUCUGUAUAUGGGGUAAAAAUGGGAGCUCAUAACCCACUUGAAUCAAAUUGUGAAAUAUGAUAUAUCAAGAACUAUGUAAUGUUUUGAACAGCCAACAAUAAAAAAUUAAAAAAAAAAAAAGAAAGUCUACACUGAAUAAAUUUUAGAAAUAAUUUAAGCAAAGUAGAGCAUUUUCCUUUGGUGUAGGACUUCUCAGGUCCUUUAAUAUGCUCCUAGAGGUUGAAGGUAUAGCUCAAUGUUAGAGAACUUGCUUAACAUGAGGGAGGCCCUGUGUUCAAUCCCCACUACCUCUGAUAAAUAAAUAAUAAUGCAGGCUAACAGACACUGUGACACUUCCAGAGUGGGUUAAAAUCUGAUUUCCCCAAAUUUAUUUGACCACCAGAAAAAAACAUAGACAUGAAAACAAAAGCUUUAACUUUGUUGUUCCUACCAGUGCAACUUCCAGUGCUCUCCUGACCCAAGGGGAC
rnacentral:lncRNA from 1 species